CCCCUCUGCUGUGAACUUGUCCUUUCAGACACAAGGCGAUAACGACACCACUGUGCUCUGAAACCCGUUAUCUCUAAUGGCUUGCAGCGCACCACGACCUCUUUCCUGUGAUGCUGUGAUAUGCGCUGCAGUCACAUGAAGUUGCAGAAAGGCUGGUCGUGCAAAUGCUGCCGCCUACAGUUUAGUAGUUAAAUUACAUUUUGAGAACAUUGUUCCCACCUUUGUUGAACUUACAGUACAGUAC